rnacentral:piRNA from 1 species
UGCCAGCCCUCAGGGAAGCCCUGC